GACGAACGCUGGCGGCGUGCUUAACACAUGCAAGUCGAACGGAGUGGAGAAAGGGAGAGUAUUACGUGAAUAACCUGCACUCAACUGUGGUAAAAGCCUGGGAAACUGGGUCUAAUACUGCAUAGUUGGGGAUGGGCUAGCGGCCUAUCAGCUUGUUGGUGGGGUGUUGGCCUACCAAGGCGGUGACGGGUAGCCGGCCUGAGAGGGGGGUCGGCCACAUUGGGACUGAGAUACGGCCCAGACUCCUACGGGAGGCAGCAGUGGUGGAUAUUGCACAAGGGGCGUAAGCCUGAUGCAGGGACGCCGCGGGAGGGAUGAAGGCUUUCGGGUUGUAAACCUCUUUCGGUACAGAACGGGUAUGUGCAGAAGAAGCGCCGGCUAACUACGUGCCAGCAGCCGCGGUAAUAC
rnacentral:rRNA from 1 species